CGACUGGGCCCUUAUCUCCACCACUCUGGCCAAAACGGAACUAUUACAAGAGAAGGAGGGAGACACAACAGAGUAAGACAGAAAAGGGUCAAACUUCUGGCUAAUUCUGAGAACAAGGCUUCAGAGACACAAUGGAUAUCACCAUGAGGUCUAAGAGUAACCAGGAUUGACUCACAGGCAGCAUGACUGAGGUUCCAGGAGGUCCAGGGACUCCAUCAGCUCCAGGCAGACCAGGCUUACCAGAAGGACCCUGCAGGGAGGAGAGACGGAGGGGAUCACCAACAGAGCCAGGAGGUCCAGAGGAGCCAGCGGGGCCAGUGGGACCCUGGAGGAGAAAGAUGGGUUACAGUUUAAUCACAGCUGUAGAAUCAUCCACUUACAGCAGGUCCCUCAGGUCCGGGGGGUCCUUCAAUCAGCAUACCCUGGAAAAGAUGAAAUGGAGAAAAAAAACUGAAGACACACAACCAAUUAAACUUAAACGUGAUCUAUGUAGAAAGACCAACUUGGAUUAACUUGAAUAUAGAAUAGGAGAGAAGACUGACAGCCCCAAGGUUAGAAAAGAAUGACUGAGACUGGAAGAUUGUUGGUUCAAAUCCCUGAAUGUACUGGGGAUGCUUUCUGUUCUGCCACUGAACAUGACAACUAAUGCUGAACAGCUCGAGUGCAGCUGCUGGGAGGUGAACAGUAGAAGACUGCGGUUAACUGGCAGUUACAAAAUCUGUACACCUGUAUGAUACAGGCCAGUAUAGGCAAUGUGUUAAAGAACAACUCACAGGCUCAAGGACAGCUGGUUCUCCCUUCUCUCCUUUCUGGGCUCUGAUGGCGGCCUGAGGAAAACACACAUGUAGCCAACAACACAGCGCAGUCAGUACAGAGGUACUCACACACUCAUGAGGCUCAUCUGACACCAGAGACAACAGAUUUUCAUACGGAUGCCUUUGGACAACAGGUGGACACAUGUUUAUCAAAAGAUACCCACAUCAUGAUGCCAUCUAAAAUGCAUGACACAUGCAUUUCCCCAUUCUAUUAAGGGCCAAUAUUCCAGUGGGCAAAUUGGAAUACUGCACAAUAAACUUAAA